rnacentral:rRNA from 1 species
AUUGAACGCUGGCGGAAUGCUUUACACAUGCAAGUCGAACGGCAGCACGGACUUCGGUCUGGUGGCGAGUGGCGAACGGGUGAGUAAUGUAUCGGAACGUGCCCAGUCGUGGGGGAUAACGUAGUGAAAAUUACGCUAAUACCGCAUACGAUCUAUGGAUGAAAGCGGGGGAUCGCAAGACCUCGCGCGAUUGGAGCGGCCGAUAUCUGAUUAGGUAGUUGGUGGGGUAAAGGCCCACCAAGCCAACGAUCUGUAGCUGGUCUGAGAGGACGACCAGCCACACUGGAACUGAGACGCGGUCCAGACUCCUACGGGAGGCAGCAGUGGGGAAUUUUGGACAAUGGGCGAAAGCCUGAUCCAGCCAUUCCGCGUGCAGGAUGAAGGCCCUCGGGUUGUAAACUGCUUUUGUACAGAACGAAAAGGUUUCUACUAAUACUAGGAGCUCAUGACGGUACUGUAUGAAUAAGCACCGGCUAACUACGUGCCAGCCGCCGCAGUAA